rnacentral:rRNA from 1 species
AUUGAACGCUAGCGGGAUGCUUUACACAUGCAAGUCGAACGGCAGCGCGGACUUCGGUCUGGCGGCGAGUGGCGAACGGGUGAGUAAUGUAUCGGAACGUGCCCAGUAGCGGGGGAUAACUACGCGAAAGCGUAGCUAAUACCGCAUACGCCCUACGGGGGAAAGCAGGGGAUCGUAAGACCUUGCACUAUUGGAGCGGCCGAUAUCGGAUUAGCUAGUUGGUGAGGUAACGGCUCACCAAGGCGACGAUCCGUAGCUGGUUUGAGAGGACGACCAGCCACACUGGGACUGAGACACGGCCCAGACUCCUACGGGAGGCAGCAGUUGGGAAUUUUGGACAAUGGGGGCAACCCUGAUCCAGCCAUCCCGCGUGUGCGAUGAAGGCCUUCGGGUUGUAAAGCACUUUUGGCAGGAAAGAAACGUCGCGGGCUAAUACCCCGUGGAACUGACGGUACCUGCAGAAUAAGCACCGGCUAACUACGUG